rnacentral:rRNA from 1 species
GCUACUACCGAUUGAAUGGCUUAGUGAGCUCUCUGGACUGUUGCGUGUCAGGGGCAACUCUGACACGCAAAUGGGAAGGAGAUCAAACUUGAUCAUUUAGAGGAAGUAAAAGUCGUAACAAGGUUUCC